rnacentral:rRNA from 1 species
AUUGAACGCUGGCGGCAGGCCUAACACAUGCAAGUCGAACGAGUGGCGGACGGGUGAGUAAUGUCUGGGAAACUGCCCGAUGUAGGGGGAUAACUACUGGAAACGGUAGCUAAUACUGCGUACCAUCGGUUGUGCCCAGAGGGGAUUAGCUAGUAGGUGGGGGAACGGCUCACCUAGGCGACGAUCCCUAGCUGGCCUGAGAGGAUGACAGGCCACACUGGAACUGAGACACGGUCCAGACUCCUACGGGAGGCAGCAGUAGGGAAUAUUGCACAAUGGGCGAAAGCCUGAUGGAGCCAUGCCGCGUGUAUGAAGAAGGCCUUCGGGUUGUAAAGUACUUUCGGCGGGGAGGCGUUACUCAAAGAAGAAGCAACGGCUAACUCCGUGCCAGCAGCCGCGGUAAUUC